GCCUCCGUGGCCUAAUGGAUAAGGCAUCGGUUUUCUAAAACCGGGGAUUGUGGGUUCGAGUCCCACCGGAGGUA